rnacentral:rRNA from 1 species
AGUGAACGCUGGCGGUAGGCCUAACACAUGCAAUUCGAACGGCAGCACAGAGGAGCUUGCUCCUUGGGUGGCGAGUGGCGGAAGGGGGAGGAAUACAUCGGAAUCUACUCUGUCGUGGGUGAUAACGUAGGGAAACUUACGCUAAUACCGUAUACGGCCUACGGGUGAAUGCAGGGGACCAUCGGGCCCUCCGCGACUGCAUGUGCCGAUGUCGGAGUAGCUAGUUGGCGGGGUAAAGGCCCACCAAAGCGACGAUCCGUAGAUGGUCUGAGAGGAUGAUCAGCCACACUGGAACCGAGACACGGUCCAGACUCCUACGGGAGGCAGCAGUGGGGAAUAUUGGACAAUGGGCGCAAGCCUGAUCCAGCCAUACCGCGUGGGUGAAGAAGGCCUUCGGGUUGUAAAGCCCUUUUGUUGGGAAAGAAAUCCAGCUGGCUAAUACCCGGUUGGAAUGACGGUACCCAAAGAAUAAGCACCGGCUAACUUCGUGCCAGCCGCCGCAGUAA